UACGUAGGGUGCAAGCGUUAAUCGGAAUUACUGGGCGUAAAGCGUGCGCAGGCGGCUGUGCAAGACAGAUGUGAAAUCCCCGGGCUAACCUGGGAAUUGCAUUUGUGACUGCACGGCUAGAGUGUGUCAGAGGGGGGUAGAAUUCCACGUGUAGCAGUGAAAUGCGUAGAUAUGUGGAGGAAUCCGAUGGCGAAGGCCAGCCCCCUGGGAUAACACUGACGCUCUGCACGAAAGCGUGGGGAGCAAACAGG
rnacentral:rRNA from 1 species